UAUUGGUGAUAUGGAUAAUUUCUAAGAAGAGAUUUGAAUCUCUCCCAAGCAUAAUAGAAAUUCUCAUCUGUAUUCUAUUUUAAACUUAAAAUCUCUCUCCUCAACCU
rfam:Capsicum annuum cultivar Zunla-1 chromosome 7, whole genome shotgun sequence